CUCAGUUCUAAGCUGGGCAUGGGUACAUGCCUGUAAUAGCAGCACCUGGGAGGCUGAGGCAGGAGGA
rnacentral:miRNA from 1 species